CAUGUCUUUUGGCCGGUUUAUUCACUCGUUGUGUUUUUACAAAUUAUUUUGAAUAAUGAUAAACUAGUAUUAUAGUGUUGCUGUUUUAUUUGUAUAUUAAUGAUACUAUCGGUAAGAUUAACUUCAUAAUAAGUAACCGCAUGUAAAUUAUCUUACUAGUAAAAAAUAUGAAACGUUAAUUUUUUUAACAUCUUUUAAGACUGGCAACACUGAUUCAUUCAUUCACUCUGCGUCUGCUGCUGUGUUUACGUUUACUCCGAUUGUGCUUUUCAGUUCAAUUUAAAAUCUACUUCGGCUACGUUUUAUGGAUAUUGAUAGUGUCGUUUUAUUCAGUGACUUCGGCUUUUCUUAUACGGACUUCGUUGUGUUUUGUGAUUUGGACUUUUCGUUUGUGACACAAAAUGUUGCGUUGCUUGAACUGUGGGUUACGCGUUCAACGCAUACAGAGGCAUGUUGUUACAACUUUGCCUCAAGAGUUGCUAAUUAUCUUGUCUAUUUGGCUGAGAAUUGAAUAUCUCCCUAUGGAAGAUGUAAUAUGUCAUGCAUGUUAUGUAUUCUUACAAAAUGCUGAUGUAAACACACCUAGAAUAUUAGGUCAUACUAAUAUCUGUGCUGGCUGUGGCUGUUCUUUGAAUGAAGCUAGACUUCAUUCUCUCGAAGAAAAUGGACCAUUAUAUGAAUUUUUUCCAUGGAUUAGAUCAGUACAGGUAUUUAUCUAAAUCCUUAAACACCUAUUAAGUACUACUUACAUUGAAUAUGAUUAAUGGUAAUGACACAUAAUUAUAACAAUUUGGAAAAUAAUCCUUAUAACUAUAUCAGUGGUAAUAGUUUUUACAAUGACAAUCAUUUUAUGCAUUUUUUUAAUAUAUUUAAGUAUGAUAAAUGUCAGAGCUCUCUUAAUUUGCAUUAUAUUGUUUAUUCAACUUAGUAAAUCAAGAGAUUGUGUAUUUUAUAUUUUUUAACACUGCUUUAUUUUUAACAAUCAUAAAUAUUUUCAGAAUGGAAGAGAUAGCUAUGCUGUUUGUCAUAGUUGUUGGCGGCGAGCUAGCCGACAAUUUGAACAAGAUUCUCAACGAGAAAUGGCUAUACCACAAUUGCCACCUGUACCUGCUCCUGCUCCAGCACCUGCCCCUGCUCCGGCACCUGCCCCUGUCCCGGCACCUGCACCUGCUUCUGCCUCUCAGCUGGGCCAGAGAUCAGUUGGAAUGGUCAAUUUACCUCAUUACAAGAGAGCUGCUAGUACAUCAAGACACUGCAUUUAUUCCGACUGCGGUUAUGUACCUAUGCAUUUAAUACCAACAUUUAUUAAAAAUAUGUUAAUUGUAGAUUACAACUAUUAUGUGCCCCGGUAUUCACGUGUUUGCCAUCACCAUUUGUAUUCUAAUACUUGGCGUGAAUUACCAGAACAAUCAUCUUCAAUAUCAAGUUUUAGUAUAAAUCAAAUAGAAGAUUUAGUUAAUAUGGCAAAACAAAAAACUGUCACAUUUAAUUUUGAAUGUGUUGAAGAAAUGCCCAACCACAUAUGCCAUUAUUGGACUGGACUGGAAGUGUCUGAAUUCAUUAUUUUAUUUAAUGAGUUACCUUUAGCUAAUCAGGUACCAUCACCAAAAUCUGCUUUGGCUAUCUUUUUAAUUAAAAUGAGGACAGGGGACAGUAACAAGAGAUUGUCUUCAUUAUUUAAUAUACCUCGAUCAACUAUGGAGAGGCACAUGAACAUUGUACGCUUAUGUUUUAUGGAACAUUUUGUACCAUUACAUAUUGGAUUGCAGCAUCUUAAUAGAGAAGAUGUCAUAAGAAGAAAUCUGAGUAUUCCAAAUGCUUUGUUUGGCAAUCCAAAUGGCUCUGAUCAAACCAGACCUGCAAUCACAAUAUGUGAUGGCACUUACAUAUAUAUUGAAAAGAGUUCCAAUUAUUUCUAUCAAAAGGAAACUUAUAGUUUACACAAAUAUGUGAACCUCGUUAAACCAUUUCUUUGUGUGUGUACAGACGGGCACAUUAUUGAUGUGAUCGGCCCUUAUGCUGCCACUCAAACCGAUGCAGAAAUAAUGAAAGAUUUAUUUACUGAUGAAUCUGGACCCAUGCGAUCAUUUUACAGAGAGGGAGAUGUAUUUAUACUCGACCGAGGAUUCAGAGAUGCGAUCCCAGUGUUGGAGGCCUGUAAUUAUAAUGUGCAGAAGCCUGAGUCGUUAAAUGAGGGAAAACGACAACUAACAACUAUUCAGGCAAACAAAAGUCGAUUAGUGACAUUAUGUCGAUGGGUAGUGGAAGUAGUCAACGGACGAUUUAAAAGGGACUUUAAAUUAUUUCGCCAGGAUUUUUUUAAUAGAGCUCAUGCACAUUUAAUGAGUGAUUUUAAAAUUGCAGCUUCAUUAAUUAACAGAUUUCACCCGACGCUUCAAGAUCGGCCAGAUGCUUCUCUUAUUAUAGAAAGAGCCUUGAGGUAUCAACAUACUCCUAAUUACUUAGCAGAAUUUGUAACAAAUUAUAAUUUAAACAGGCGAUCGGUUAUGUUUAGACGCAUAGACGGCAGGUUUCCUCAAUUAAAUAUAUUUCCCGUAUUUAGUUACUCAGAACUGAUUAUUUUCGCAUUGGGCCCAUAUCAGGUAAAACAAGCACGAUCAUAUUAUGGCGAACAUGUUCGACAAAAUGGCUUGUAUGAAAUUGAAAUAUGUCCUGAGCUGGAACACUCUGAAGAAAUGGUUGCGGCCGUUGGAGGAAAUAGACCUUAUUUAUUAAGGGGUCGAAUCCAGUCGCGCCAUGUUGGUCGGCGUAAAUAUUUUACGUAUAUUUUAAUUGACACUCAGCCCUCGAGUAGUAAUUGCUUAGAUGCAAUAUUAGGUUACUGUUGCAACUGUCUCGUGGGUAACAGAACAGUGGGAUGCUGUUGCCACGUUAUGGCCAUAAUAUGGUAUUUGGGUUGGGCUAGACACCAAGACAAUAUAUCGCCGCCAGCAUCAUUCUUAGACAAUAUAUUACUUGUAAUUGAAGAAUAAAACAUUUAACACUUA